UACGAAGGGGGCUAGCGUUGCUCGGAAUCACUGGGCGUAAAGGGUGCGUAGGCGGGUCUUUUAAGUCAGGGGUGAAAUCCUGGAGCUCAACUCCAGAACUGCCUUUGAUACUGAGGAGCUUGAGUCCGGGAGAGGUGAGUGGAACUGCGAGUGUAGAGGUGAAAUUCGUAGAUAUUCGCAAGAACACCAGUGGCGAAGGCGGCUCACUGGCCCGGUACUGACGCUGAGGUGCGAAAGCGUGGGGAGCAAACAGGG
rnacentral:rRNA from 1 species